rnacentral:rRNA from 1 species
CCUACGGGGGGCAGCAGUGGGGAAUAUUGCACAAUGGGGGAAACCCUGAUGCAGCAACGCCGCGUGAGUGAAGAAGUAUUUCGGUAUGUAAAGCUCUAUCAGCAGGGAAGAAGAUGACGGUACCUGAGUAAGAAGCCCCGGCUAACUACGUACCAGCAGCCGCGGUAAUACGUAGGGGGCAAGCGUUAUCCGGAUUUACUGGGUGUAAAGGGAGCGUAGACGGUGAGACAAGUCUGAAGUGAAAGCCCGGGGAUCAACCCUGAGCCUGCAUUUGAAACUGUUUUUCUUGAGUGCUGGAGAGGCAAUCGGAAUUCCGUGUGUAGCGGUGAAAUGCGUAGAUAUACGGAGGAACACCAGUGGCGAAGGCGGAUUGCUGGACAGUAACUGACGCUGAGGCGCGAAAGCGUGGGGAGCAAACAGGAUUAGAUACCCGAGUAGUC